AAUUUUGGUUUUGUUUGUGGGCAUGAUUGUUUUAGCUCAUGUCUCAUGAUUCAUGAUGAUUGGAAAGCAUGAGUUGAUCAAUCAGGCCAGGAAACAGAACCACCUUC